rnacentral:rRNA from 1 species
UACGUAGGGACCAAGCGUUGUUCGGAUUUACUGGGCGUAAAGGGCGCGUAGGCGGUGCGGUAAGUCACUUGUGAAAUCUCUGAGCUUAACUCAGAACGGCCAAGUGAUACUGCAGUACUAGAGUGCAGAAGGGGCAAUCAGAAUUCUUGGUGUAGCGGUGAAAUGCGUAGAUAUCAAGAGGAAUACCUGAGGUGAAGACGGGUUGCUAGGCUGACACUGACGCUGAGGCGCGAAAGCCAGGGGAGCAAACAGG